AGCUUUGCGCAGUGGCAGUAUCGUAGCCAAUGAGGUUUAUCCGAGGCGCGAUUAUUGCUAAUUGAAAACAUGAAAAAAUACUCACCAUCUCUAGCAGUCAGAGAAAUGC
rnacentral:snRNA from 1 species